GGUGGGAAUGGUGGUGGUGCGGUGGGGUAUUAAUGGUGGUGGUAGGGGUAGAGAGAAAGAGAGGAGGGAUGGACAGGUGUAGAGGUGUACAAAUCGGUUAAUCGGUUUUUAAAAAACCGGUUAAAAAAAAAAACCGGUUUUUUUCACCCAAAAUAAAAACCGGUUUUUUUAAUAACCGGUUCGGUUAAUAACCGGUUUUUGAGGUCCAAAACAAUAACCGGUAUAACCGGUUGGGACCGGUUUUUAACCGGUUUUCCCAAAAAAACCGGUUUUUUUCCGGUUUUAACCGGUUUUUUAAUAACCGGUUCGGUUAAUAACCGGUUUUUGAAAUCAAGAAUAGUAACCGGUAUAAAAACCGGCGGUUAAAAAAAACCGGUUAAAAAAAAACCGGUUAUAAAAAAAACCGGUUAAAAAAAAACCAGUUUCGGUUUUUUUUCCGGUUUCGAUUCUAAAACCAGUUUUUUUGUACACCUCUAGACAGGUGUGUGAAAUGUCUAUGUGUUUAACAAACUUGGUGGAUGGAGUUAGAAAUUUGGACUCAAAUGGUUAA
rnacentral:lncRNA from 1 species